rfam:SAR92 bacterium BACL26 MAG-121220-bin70 contig01504_1_121220-bin70, whole genome shotgun sequence.
GUCCUCCUGAGGUGUUUGCCAGCUAAGAAGUCCCUGAGCCGAUAAUUAUUAUCCGGCUUCUUUCUGCCAACAUUGUUGUGCAAUUCCGUGCGUCGGAAAGCCUGAUAUGUUGCGAAAGUCGCCAACUUGAACUCUUCGGUUCAAGGCCACAUUGGCAGCGGCACCCUGGGGUCUUA